CCCCUGCAGCUGUUGACAUUCGCAAACCCUUUCAGUUGAUAUUAAAUGUUCCCGGAACAAGAGCCGCGACUUACGGAGUGACCUGACUUCCUGCAGUUGGGAGCGUCAUGUGUGGCGCAAAGGGGAAGGCUGCCAUCGCGGCGUCGGAGAUGGAGAAAAUAUCGGUUCUCAGCGCAAGGACUAAUGCGGCCUCUGUUUCUUUGGGACUUGGAUCUAUUGCCAACCGUGAGGAGGAGAGGAGAGGACGGGCUGCCUUUUGAACGUUCCACACCGUCGUUUUAAGAAAUUGGGGUUGUAAAAUCGCAAAAAAAUAUUUGUUAAAGUGUACAAAAUAUGAGAAU